GAUGAACGCUGGCGGCGUGCCUAAUACAUGCAAGUCGAGCGAACAGACGAGGAGCUUGCUCCUCUGACGUUAGCGGCGGACGGGUGAGUAACACGUGGAUAACCUACCUAUAAGACUGGGAUAACUUCGGGAAACCGGAGCUAAUACCGGAUAAUAUAUUGAACCGCAUGGUUCAAUAGUGAAAGACGGUUUUGCUGUCACUUAUAGAUGGAUCCGCGCCGCAUUAGCUAGUUGGUAAGGUAACGGCUUACCAAGGCGACGAUGCGUAGCCGACCUGAGAGGGUCGUCGGCCACACUGUAACUGAGACACGGUCCACACUCCUACGGGAGGCAGCAGUAGGGAAUCUUCCGCAAUGGGCGAAAGCCUGACGGAGCAACGCCGCGUGAGUGAUGAAGGUCUUCGGAUCGUAAAACUCUGUUAUUAGGGAAGAACAAAUGUGUAAGUAACUAUGCACGUCUUGACGGUACCUAAUCAGAAAGCCACGGCUAACUACGUG
rnacentral:rRNA from 1 species